rnacentral:rRNA from 1 species
AGUGAACGCUGGCGGUAGGCCUAACACAUGCAAGUCGAACGGCAGCACAGUAAGAGCUUGCUCUUACGGGUGGCGAGUGGCGGACGGGUGAGGAAUACAUCGGAAUCUACUUUUUCGUGGGGGAUAACGUAGGGAGACUUACGCUAAUACCGCAUACGACCUACGGGUGAAAGCAGGGGAUCUUCGGACCUUGCGCGAUUGAAUGAGCCGAUGUCGGAUUAGCUAGUUGGCGGGGUAAAGGCCCACCAAGGCGAUGAUCCGUAGCUGGUCUGAGAGGAUGAUCAGCCACACUGGAACUGAGACACGGUCCAGACUCCUACGGGAGGCAGCAGUGGGGAAUAUUGGACAAUGGGCGCAAGCCUGAUCCAGCCAUACCGCGUGGGUGAAGAAGGCCUUCGGGUUGUAAAGCCCUUUUGUUGGGAAAGAAAAGCAGCAGGUUAAUACCCCGCUGUUCUGACGGUACCCAAAGAAUAAGCACCGGCUAACUUCGUG